UCACGCCAUUCUCCUGCCUCAGCCUCUCCGAGUAGCUGGGACUACAGGCGCCCGCCAUGGCGCCCGGCUAAUUUUUUAUAUUUUUAGUACAGACGGGGUUUCACCGUGUUAGCCAACAUGGUCGUGAUCUCCUGACCUCGUGAUCCGCCCGCCUCGGCCUCCCAAAGUGCUGGGAUUACAGGCGUGAGCCACCGCGCCCGGCCAAAAGCAGGAAUACAGAGCUGAAAGUCAUCAACAGACUCCCCUACUGAGGCAGCUCAAGUCUCUUGAUGCUUUGAGUGAAUAGAAUGCCCAACAUCAGGAAUCCCAGUGUCCUCCCACUGGGACAUGGAGCUCCAGGCCAAGUUCUAAAAGUAGUGCUGUUCUCAGUCUCUACCAAACUGAUGGAUCCGGAUCUUCGCUAUCGAUACACUAGAAUUUCUCAAUCAGUUUCAUCAGUGCUGCUGAUUCAGAAUCCAUAUUUUCAACUGCCUUACCUGUGGAGGACCUUGCAACACAUGAAUCUCAAAGUGGUACUGCACCUACAGCACCUUGAGACGGCCACGUGACUGGCUCUGCCUAAGGGGCAUAUGUUGCUACUGCAUUGAGGCAGAGGAAAACUCCUUUGCAAACUUCCACCUCUGUGUGAUGAAAAGAACUGGGGCCUUUGUUAAUAGAACAGAGCCACAAGAUUGAAGAAGCUGGCUUCUCAGAGUUCAACAUGGAGAUCUGCCUAGACUACUGGACAUUUAAAUAGGUUGCCCUGAUUUUCCAGCCAAGAUAAAGGAUUUUUUUCCUUCGGGAUCAGUUUUGUCAGGAGCAUCAAGACUCCGGAGACUAUUUGAAGUGUGAGCAGACCCCUUCGACACUGGCUGCCAGCUCAGAGAAAACGGACUGGAACAAAACAAAGACCUCUAAAGACAAGAGAUGUAAGAUAUAAGACUCUAUUGACUGUCCCUGAGCAGGCUCUGAGGAAGUAAGCCUCUUUAUGGAGAAGCCCAUGUGACAAGGAACUGAAGGUGGCCUCCAGCCAACAGCCCUUGGUAAGGAACUGAAUCCUGCCCGUGACACAUGAGCUUGAAGGUGGAUUCUUUCACAGUCAAGUCUCAGAAGGUACUUCAGCCCUGCCAACACCUUCACUGUGGCACCAGAGACCCUGAGCCAGAGGACCCAGAUAAGUCAUGCCCAGAUUCCUGCUCCACAGUAACGAAUUCUGGGCAGUAGGCGUGUGCCAAGCUGGAAGACUUUUUCUCCUCCUAAAUGAAUCGUGCAGUAAAUUGGGCAUUUGGAUCUUUCCCUUGUGAAGCUAUCUCACAAGUUUGACUGUUGACAUCCUGAGAAGUAGUGUUCUGCUGGAUAUGGUUGGAGACACCCUGCUUUGGUGAGAUAAUGAUGAGUAUGAAUAUAGUAAAUAAGUCAUAGAUAGACAGUCUGAUGUCAUGCCCUGACACUUUUAAUAAUAGUACCCUCCUCUAGGGCUAGUAAUAUAAAGUACUUAGACCAGUGUUUCGCAUAUACAAAUAUUUAAUAAACUUUGU